rnacentral:lncRNA from 1 species
CCAUAUCUUGCUUUACAAACCAACAACAACAACGUACGAUUUACUUCCUUUACGUAGCAGCAACGUACCGACCUGCCAUACACCACGUCCCACCCAUUGAGGAGCACGGCCGGCCCUGGGGCGGGUCAAAGCGGGCGAUCGCCCCAGGCCCCUAUUUUUUUUUUUAUCUGGAUAAACCAAACGUCUUCUUUCUCUCCCGAGUUCCAGCACCCCGACGGCUUUUUUUGGAUAAAUUAAACAUCUUCUCCCUCUCACAAUCUGUGCUCCUCUCCCCCGCCUCCUCCUCCGUCUCCGAUCUUUUCAUCCUAUUCUGCUGUCCAUCGGUGUUUCUUCCUUAUUUUGGACGUCAAAAAUCAGAUCAAAAUCCAUCAAAAAAUCAGGUAAAUCUCUUCAAUCCUCCUCUUUCAAUCUGCUAUGAAUAAUUAAUAUUUAAAAUAUAUCAAUUUUUAAUAAUUUUUUUUUAUUUGGUCUCAGGUCUAAAAAAUAUCAGGACCGGCUCUGUUGAGGAGGAGGAGGAAGAAGAAGAAGACUCCCAUCUCCUGCGAGGCUCGCCUCCGCCUUUACAAGGCCAUCCCGUUCCCUCCAAGAUUCUUUCACGACCACCGACAC